rnacentral:rRNA from 1 species
CCAAGGAGUCUAACAUGCGCGCGAGUCGUUGGGUCUUACGAAACCCGCAGGCGAAGUGAAAGCGAGGGCUCGUCUCUGGCGAGCUCAGGUGGGAUCCCGGGUCCUCCGCGGCCUGGGCGCACCACUGGCCCGUCUCGUCCGCGCUGUCGGUGAGGCGGAGCAGGAGCGUGCACGUUGGGACCCGAAAGAUGGUGAACUAUGCCUGAGUAGGACGAAGCCAGAGGAAACUCUGGUGGAGGUCCGUAGCGAUUCUGACGUGCAAAUCGAUCGUCAAACUUGGGUAUAGGGGCGAAAGACUAAUCGAACCAUCUA